CUGGAAGUAUGAGAAAUAGAGGAGCAUGAGCUAAGAAACGAGCCAUGUGCCUGUCUCUGCAGCCAGCCAGCCACACAAAUGGGCAGAUUUGUCAGUGUGCAGAGGGAGCCCAUAGGUAGGGGUGAGCUCGUGUUCCCUUGUCCAGGUGACAAGGCUGUACAGAGCCCUGUGUGGUGUGGGUCAGAACUUGUGCUUUCGUUGCAUCAGAUUUAACCCCACACUUGCAGGCCCAAUUGAUGAUCUUGAUCAUUGAUCCUAUUGACUUUUCCUGCCUUAUUUUUUGAGCAAACGAAUGCCUGGAUUUUUCUAACAUGCUUCCAUUCAAAUUCUCUACCCCAAGGGCCUCAAAAGGACAUUUCAGCUUCUCAGAUCCUGUGUUUGAAUAGCUAGUGCUCCUUGCUCUGCCAAAGGAUGGAUUCGCCUUGCUUGCACGUUCCUCUGACCUGUGCAUAGGCAGACAGAGGACAAAUGUUUGUUGAUGGGAAGCGCUAUUCAUCACGCAACACAACUAAAAUCCUCGGAGGGCCCCAAGAAGGAGUAGCUGGAAAAGCCAUGUCCACCCUGCACCUUGCAAGCUGCAUGUGGUGUCCCUGGACAGCUAGUAAUCGGGCCCUAUGAGAAUUUCCACACGAUGUGUGCUUCGGUGAUAUUUUUCAUGCCUGGAAUGUGUAGGGGUUGAGCGCGAACUUCACAGGCAAUGAAGCAGAAGCAGAUGUAUGAGUUUUCUUAUAUAGUCGUUGAAUUUGGGCUUGUGUUAUUUGAUUCUAAUGUUAUAACAAAAACAUUUAAAAAUAAAGUUUUGUUACUUACAUACAUGGACUGUAGUAUAUAUUUUACUGAAUC
rnacentral:lncRNA from 1 species